UAAACCUUCAACUACAGUCAUGAGGAGCCUGGUGGUUCUCACGUUUGUGGUAGCUAGCGAUCUCGCUGCAGUCAGACAGCAGUGGGCGCUGGAGGCAUGUGUGCGGAGGCACCCUCAUCUCUUCUGACUGGGUCCUCACUGCUGCACACUGCAUCAAUGACCACAAGCACAACCUGAAGACGAGUGAGGAGGGCUCGAUAGCCCAUAGCGCGGCUACAAUCAUCACUCAUGAGG